AUUGAACGCUGGCGGCAUGCCUUACACAUGCAAGUCGAACGGCAGCAUGGAAGAGCUUGCUCUUCUGAUGGCGAGUGGCGAACGGGUGAGUAAAGCAUCGGAACGUACCGUGUAAUGGGGGAUAACGUAGCGAAAGUUACGCUAAUACCGCAUACGACCUGAGGGUGAAAGCAGGGGAUCGCAAGACCUUGCGUUAUACGAGCGGCCGAUGUCAGAUUAGCUAGUUGGUGAGGUAAAGGCUCACCAAGGCGACGAUCUGUAGCGGGUCUGAGAGGAUGAUCCGCCACACUGGGACUGAGACACGGCCCAGACUCCUACGGGAGGCAGCAGUGGGGAAUUUUGGACAAUGGGGGCAACCCUGAUCCAGCCAUGCCGCGUGAGUGAAGAAGGCCUUCGGGUUGUAAAGCUCUUUCGGCCGGGAAGAAAUCGCACAGGCUAAUACUCUGUGUGGAUGACGGUACCGGCAUAAGAAGCACCGGCUAACUACGUGCCAGCAGCCGCCGCAG
rnacentral:rRNA from 1 species